GAUGAACGCUGGCGGCGUGCUUAACACAUGCAAGUCGAACGAUGAAGCCCAGCUUGCUGGGUGGAUUAGUGGCGAACGGGUGAGUAACACGUGAGUAACCUGCCCUUAACUCUGGGAUAAGCCUGGGAAACUGGGUCUAAUACCGGAUAGGAGCGCCUACCGCAUGGUGGGUGUUGGAAAGAUUUAUCGGUUUUGGAUGGACUCGCGGCCUAUCAGCUUGUUUGUGAGGUAAUGGCUCACCAAGGCGACGACGGGUAGCCGGCCGGAGAGGGUGACCGGCCACACUGGGACUGAGACACGGCCCAGACUCCUACGGGAGGCAGCAGUGGGGAAUAUUGCACAAUGGGCGAAAGCCUGAUGCAGCGACGCCGCGUGAGGGAUGACGGCCUUCGGGUUGUAAACCUCUUUCAGUAGGGAAGAAGCGAAAGUGACGGUACCUGCAGAAGAAGCACCGGCUAACUACGUG
rnacentral:rRNA from 1 species